AUGGACCAUUCCAUCCCUUAUUCCCGUGGCUAUGCAUCGGAUUCGGAUGACGAAGGUCCCGAUGAACAAGUUGAUGAGGAGGGUUUCACGAUGAAGGAGGCCGAAGCUUUCGAUAAGGUAUUCGGUCGGGAUCAUCGGACUACAUUGUUCAAGGAUGUUAGUCUCGCGGAUGAAGCCGUGGUAGAUGGUGGCCAAGGUAUAUCUCUGGGGGUUAGGCCAAGCUCUCACCGUGAUUUGGAAGAUGACAAGAACGGUAUUGCUAAAGGGUCUAAGUUCGAAACCUUCUUGGAAUUGAAGAUGUGGCUCGACAACUACUCGGUUACGCAUUAUCAUCCACACAAGGUGGUGAACUCGGACGUCAAUGUGCGCUACACGGUUGCAUGUGCAUGUUAA
rnacentral:rRNA from 1 species